UACGUAGGGUGCGAGCGUUGUCCGGAAUUAUUGGGCGUAAAGGGCUCGUAGGCGGCUUGUCGCGUCGGGGAGUGAAAACACCGGGCUUAACUCGGUGCUUGCUUUCGAUACGGGCAGACUAGAGGCAUGCAGGGGAGAACGGAAUUCCUGGUGUAGCGGUGAAAUGCGCAGAUAUCAGGAGGAACACCCGUGGCUAAGGCGGCUCUCUAGUACGGUACUGACGCUGAGACGCGAAAGCGUGGGGAGCGAACAGG
rnacentral:rRNA from 1 species